rnacentral:lncRNA from 1 species
AGCUGUAACAGUUACUCACAACCAAGUCUCACCCCCAGACAUUCUGAGUGCCACCACCUCAGAGGCUUUCCAAGGCUGUGUCCUUCUGCCUGCAGCAAAUGAGCACCCCGACUCUUAGGUUUUGGAAAUUGUUCUGGACUGAACUGUGUCCCUCCAAAAUUCACAUGUUGAAAUACCUCAGAAAGUGACUGUAUUUGGAGACGUGGCCUUUAAAGAGGUGGGCCCUAAAUCCAGUGACAAGUGUCCUUAUAAGAGACACGCAGAGGAGAGAGAUAAAGCCACGUGAAGAUGGAGGCAGAGAUUAGAAUGAUGCAGCCACAAGCCAAGGACACCUGGAGUCACCAGAAACCUAACAAGGCAAGGAAGGAGUCUCCUCUAGAGCCUUCAGAGGGCCUGUGGCCCGGACAACACCUUGAUUUUGGACUUCUGGUCUCCAGAACAAUGAAAGAAUAAAUUUCUGUUGUUUUCAGCCACCAAGUCUGUAGUAAUUUGCUACAGCAGCUUCAGGAAACUAAUACGACAUGUAAAAUAGUUUCAA